GAAGCUCCAUGAGACCAGGAGCCAUAUCUGGCGUACUCACUGCAGUGGAGCAUAGCACAUGCUUAACAAGAAUUCGCUACUUGAGUAGAAUGAACCAUCUCUCUGCUGUGCAGGACACCCACGCGUCAGCAUGGUACAUCUAUCAAACGAGGAGAAACAGUAAAAUGAAUCUACUUGAAACAUGGUGUAAAAAGAUGAGGGUUUCAGGAAAGAGAAGAGAAAUCUUCAAUGGAAUGAAAGGCGUACGUAUAACAUACAGUACAGGCCAAGUGCGCAGCAGCAUUUGGGCUGCUCGUAGCAUGCACAGUAGACUCUACCACCCUCUAGAUCACUAAGAUUUUUACUGGUCAGACAAACUUUUAUUUCCUUCUAAAGUCAAACUUUUAUUGAGCACUUAGGCUGUGCCAUCCAUGCAGCCCAAUGCAUGGCUUACACUAGGCAUUCAAUACACAUUAUUGUAAGGAAGGAGGGAGGGAAGGAGGAAGGGAAGGCCACACUUAAGCAAUUCCCAUUCUGUGCUAAAGCUUCACACCUAAAAGUGGAGAAUGUAUGGACAAUUUUGGAUAAAUAUUAAAAGCCUGUAGUUUUUGGUA